UUCACUUUAUUCAUGGAUAAUACUUCUUGACAGAAUCAGCAUUUACAGGUCUUGGCAAUUCAUGACCAUCCAUUUCUACAAGGAUUAGUGCCCCACCGGGUAGCACUUUCUUUACAAUAUAUGGACCUUCAUAGUUUGGAGUAAACUUCCCACGAGGAUCUGGAAUGAUAGGUAAAACCUUCCUCAAGACAAGAUCGUUGAUCUCAAAAUGUCUUGGUCUAACUUUGCGAUUAAAUGACCUAGCUACUCUCUUCUGAUAGCUUUGUCCAUGGCAUAAGGCUUUUACCCUCUUUUCAUCAAUCAUAUUAAGUUGUUCAAAUCUUUGUUGAACCCAUUCAGCUUCAGAGAGCUUGAUUUGAGAAAGUACCCUCAGUGAAGGAAUUUCCACUUCCACGGG
rnacentral:lncRNA from 1 species